UAAUACGUAGGUGGCGAGCGUUAUCCGGAUUUAUUGGGUUUAAAGGGAGCGUAGGCGGCUGAUUAAGUCAGCGGUGAAAGGUAGCAGCUUAACUGUUUUACAUGCCGUUGAUACUGGUUAGCUUGAGUUGACAGAAGGCAGAUAGAAUUCCUGAUGUAGCGGUGAAAUGCUUAGAUAUCAGGAGGAAUACCGAUUGCGAAGGCAGUCUGCUGCAGUCACACUGACGCUGAGGCUCGAAGGUGCGGGGAUCAAACAGG
rnacentral:rRNA from 1 species